CUUUUUUACCCCCGAAUUUCCUAACCAGCGAGAAGACUACAUCUUUGCUAAUUAAAAUGGACACCCCUCGUUUUUUGGGUUUUUUUGCGUAGCAGGCAUGGAAGUCCACAGGGAAUGCUACAGAAUUGAAUUUAGGGCGCUGACCCCAUUUAAAAGAACGCCACGUGGGCAUCGUGAGACUUGGCUUCUUUUAGUGCUAGGCGUCUCUUGUUCGGAGAUUUAAGCCCUUUAGCAUUAAGGGAAAAUAUGUUAAGCACCAUUGGUUUGGGGUAACACAUCUGCUUGGUGAUGAAGAGCAGUUAAAUAACCCCUCUCCAUAGAGGGGGGAACCGGGCCCCUACUACUGUGCCUCUCAGCGCUAACGCUGAGCCAUCAGGUAGCCCUGCGGAAUCUUCCCUCCUCGGGACCUCUCCAGUAUAUCUGGGUUAUUUUAGGAUUGAGUUUGGG